rnacentral:rRNA from 1 species
AUUGAACGCUGGCGGCAUGCCUUACACAUGCAAGUCGAACGGCAGCAUGAUCUAGCUUGCUAGAUUGAUUGCGAGUGGCGCACGGGUGAGUCAUACAUCGGAACGUGCCCUGUAGCGGGGGAUACCUAGUCGAAAGAUUAGCUAAUACCGCAUACGACCUGAGGGUGAAAGUGGGGGACCGCAAGGCCUCAUGCUAUAGACGCGGCCGAUGUCUGAUUAGCUAGUUGGUGAGGUAAAGGCUCACCAAGGCGACGAUCAGUAGCUGGUCUGAGAGGACGAUCAGCCACACUGGGACUGAGACACGGCCCAGACUCCUACGGGAGGCAGCAGUGGGGAAUUUUGGACAAUGGGCGAAAGCCUGAUCCAGCAAUGCCGCGUGUGUGAAGAAGGCCUUCGGGUUGUAAAGCACUUUUGUCCGGAAAGAAAUGGCUCUGGUUAAUACCUGGGGUCGAUGACGGUACCGGAAGAAUAAGGACCGGCUAACUACGUG